rnacentral:lncRNA from 10 species
GUGAGAUGGGGGGAGACUCUUCUGAAUGGUGUGGUGGCGGAAGUGGGGGUGGGGGGGAUGCAACAGUCUUGUUGGACUGGAACAUAGAGUUCAAAUGGCGGAAUUUCAGAGCUUUGACGCUCUACUAUUAAGAAGGUCCAGCAAGUUCUGCCGUGAACAGUUGUGCUCAUAGCUAGCUGUGUGAUCUUGAACAAGUUUCUUUGUCUCCAAAACCUAGUUUUGUUACAGGUAGAUAGGCAAGAGUGGGCUCUCCCCCGACGCACUAGAAAUGUCGGAUGACAGUUCCACAGUUAUCGCAUUGCCUCUCUAAAAAUCAUAAUUCAGCAGCCAGGGAGAGACAAUCUCCUGAUGGUCCAUAACCUUGACAUUAAAAGUGUUAACUGAAUACAGAUCCCAGGGAGAAGCAGAUUCUUGGGCAUGUGUGUUAAGAGAUAAAAUGGCAAAGUAUGACUUUCCGGGGUACACGCCACAGGAAAAAGGAAAAAGUCUCAGGUGGGCAUGCGUGUAACUCCCUAAACGCACUGCGCGUGCUCAAUUCCAAAGGCUAAGGAAAGCAUUGCGCAUGCGGGAAACCCACGCUGAGGGAAGAAUCAUGGGAAAGAGUAGAGACGGGGUUCCACCGUGUUAGCCAGGAUGGUCUCGAUUUCCUGACCUCGUCAUCCUCCCGCCUUGGCCUCCCAAAGUGCUGGGAUUACAGGCUUGAGCCACCGCGCCCCGCUCUUUCGUGUUCCAAAGGCUUUUUAAAUAAACUUCCACUCCUGUCCUGGAUUCUGCUUUAUGGCCCUCAGUCGAAUUCUUUCUUCUGAGGAGGCAAGGACUGAAGUUGCUUCUGACCAGUACAGGUACGCCGCAGGAGAAAACGAAUACAGCAGGGAUGACUUCCACCAGCUCCACUUUGCAGCUCUGAGGUGUAUUAAAAAUGACCUGGAAGAAGUCAUGCCACGGGCCAGACCUUAACAUUCCUUUCGGCUUACCCCAGGAUUUCAGACAAAGCUUCACUUUCCUAACCAGUCACAAAUCAGAGAAUUUUUGAUUCCACCUAUGACCUGUGAGCUCCUGCUUCAAGAUAUUCCACCUUUUUUAGGCCAAACCAAUGUAUAACCUCCAAGUGUCGAUUUACACUUUCGACUGUAACUUCUGCUUUCCUGAGAUUUACCCCUGCCUUUAAAAACCCUUGCUUGUAAUCCCUCAGGGAGGCCGUGUAUUUAUUAAUCAUGAGCUGCCCAAUUCUCCUUGCUUGGUGCCCUGCAAAUAAACACCCUCUUUUCUCCCACUGCAAAACCUCAGUGUGGAUGUUUGGCUUUACUUCACCCCCAGGAAAGCAGACCCAGGUUUGACUCAGCAACAACAUCUGUUUCUAUUUUUCUCUGUAUAAAUAUUAAAAACCAUAAGUACAUGCUAUCUCCAAUUCCAAUAUAAACCCAUA